GCGAGAUUCGUAUGUAUAUCAAAUACAUGUGAAUCACACUAGAUACAUGUAUCUUGGCGUCAGAUCCACGAGCUAAUAUACAUGAAAAAACAAGAAAAUCGGCUAUUCCUAAAUCAAUCUGAUGUAGCAAAAGAGAUUACCAAAUUUAUGCAACCACAGCUUAUCAGGAAGGUUUACAGAAGUAUGCUGUAAUGGCCUUCAAUUUGCCAUUUAAGUAAUUCUUCUCCACCUCUAAUGACCAUGGUGGAUUCGCGGACAGUGACAGUUCUGCCAACUCAUUGAUAUCGACAUUUCUUGGGAGGAACAUGACAACUUUGGAGGCGAUUCCCCUGCCAAUGCUGAAGAGGAAGUUCCCAUCAUGCGGCCUAAGCAUGGUUUUCAUGUCAAAUGUUCUUUCCUUCAAAUAGUCUGGUCCCCCCCAAGGUGGUGACAUAAAGACUACAUCCG
rnacentral:misc_RNA from 1 species